rnacentral:misc_RNA from 1 species
GGAAUUUUGCGCAAUGGGGGAAACCCUGACGCAGCAACGCCGCGUGGAGGAUGAAAUAUCUUGGUAUGUAAACUCCUUUCGAUGGGGAAGAUUAUGACGGUACCCAUAGAAGAAGCCCCGGCUAACUUCGUGCCAGCAGCCGCGGUAAUACGAGGGGGGCAAGCGUUGUUCGGAUUUAUUGGGCGUAAAGGGUGCGUAGGCGGUUUGGCAAGUCUUGUGUGAAAUCUUUGGGCUCAACCCAAAGUCUGCACAAGAAACUGCCGGGCUUGAGUAUGGGAGAGGUGAGUGGAAUUUCCGGUGUAGCGGUGAAAUGCGUAGAUAUCGGAAGGAACACCUGUGGCGAAAGCGGCUCACUGGACCAUUACUGACGCUGAGGCACGAAAGCUAGGGGAGCAAACAGGA